UUCUUAUCAAGAGAGGUAGAGGGAAUGGCCCGACGAAACCUCAGCAACCUUCAGUAUCCUAUAUACUGAAAAGGUGCUAAUUCCAUCAAGCAAAUGCUUGAAAGAUAAGAA
rnacentral:ncRNA from 2 species